GAAUGAUUACUGAUAGAAUAAUCAAAGGGAAAAGGGUGCUAAUUUUUAAGAGAGAACGCCCACAGCAAUAGAAAGAAGAUAAUUGCGACAAAUGGUAGUCAUAAUUUAACCGACGAACAAUACUCCAGUAAAAGCCUCAAAGCAAAGGACUUAGACAACAAAAUUCACUGGGAAUCAUCAUUUCAGAGCUUGGGUUAAUUGGGUUUGUCGAGACGGAAAAGUGGUUUUUUCAAUUAUCAUAGGAAUUAAUAAGGAAAUUCGACAGAUAAAGGUACAGUUUCAAGAACAAUAGUGGGUAGACAAGAAGCAGAACCUGAACAACAAUAUUAGAUUGGGAGAUAAGCAUAUGUUGGCAGGAUUAUUACAUGUAGAGUAAUCUCACUUCGGGUAAAUCAAAAUAACUAAGUUCUUCCUAGGAAGAUCUACGGAGGGUUUGGACAUACCCUGAUGAAAUUGUAAUAGCUCAAGGGGAGGUAAUCAAAGACAUCUGCAUAGAGGUUCUUCUUUAUCAUAAAUGGAAUUGCUUGGUACAUGAGCCACACUGCACAAAAUCAAAUGCUUCUAAUAAGUUGCCAAUGAUCCUUUUUCUUGAUGAAAUGGAAUAUUAGUUUAUGUUCUGUGCAUCAUCACUCACAGUAAAAUACAAGUAAAUUUAGAGUACUGGUGAAGAGAAAAAGGGGAUAUUUGACUCGUGAUUUCAAUAAGCAUGGUGGUUCGAGGGUUGAGAAGAUUGAGUUUAUGUACCGGUAAUUAAAUUGGAGAAACCAAGGUUUUUGUAGCAUAUGUUUGUUUCCUAGGCUCGUGAUUUGUCAAAAUAUAUGGCUUGAGAAUUUAUUUGGAAGCGUGGGUUUAAGUAGCAAUACAUAGAUCAGCUCCCCAAUUCUAGCCUAUACAAACCCAACCAGUGAACUAAGCACUACGCCAGUUCCUUGAAGAUAUAUCAAAUUAUAGGAAUAAAGAUGAGUUAGAUAUUGUGACUCACUUUCACCAAUUGUCACUCCAAUAGGAUAGAGGAUUAUGAAUGCAGUGUACCUAGAAGAAACAAAACACAAAAUUAAAUAUUAGAAUUAUUCUUCUCAUUUUGGGUACGUGUUGUUUUCCUUGGAAGAUGAAGAGUACCUAAGAUAUGUAAGCCAAAAUGGGCAAACUCCCAAGCAAUUCAAAGCAUGGUGAAAAUAUCUGAUAACCUGAAUCCAUUUCAUCACAGUAAGAAUCCAGAAACCCAAUUGAUUAAGGAAAAAAGAAAACGUAUGAAGAUGAAGAAUAUCCCAAAGGCGGUAGAGAACAUCAGUGUAAGGAAUUACAAUUUGACGGAGAGAUGGAACUCCAGGUAAAUCAAUGAAAAUAAGCAGCAAAGAGAGAAAAGGAAAUCGUUAAGAAGACAACAAACUAGCAAGCACAAAAAGAAAGAAUGCUAUCAUUUUACCAUAAGAAGAAUGCCAUUAACCUUUUUCUUUCUUUCUUUCUUCUUUUAAGAUAUAGAUAGGUUGCAUUCGGAAGACUUAGAUUUCACUUUUCAGUAGAGCAAGGUAAAAUCUCUGAUAUUUGUAACAGAUUACAAUUAUCUUAGCAUGAUUAUAUUUAUUGCUCGCUAGCCCAGCCCUACCAAACUAUCCAUCUAUAAGUAAAGACUAAAUUGGUACUUGGCUAUUACUCUCUAACAAACCUAAAAUCAACCUCUAAUUUUCUUCUAAGAUAUAUGUUUAAAAAAUGUCUGCUCGUUCACUACCUAAUUUUGUUAAGUAAUUUAAAGAAAGAAUGAACCGUAAACCACAGAUACCCAACUUUGAAAGAAAAAGAAAUUUUUUUACCUCAGAUAAGCUCCAAGCUAGGAAAGUGAUGAACACAGAAGGCAACCGUUGAAUCUGUCAAACAAAAAGAAAGAGCAGUGAAUUACUUGUAGUUGUCAUGAACGUUAUGGCUGUUUAUGUUAUCAAGAUUGUAAUAGAAUCCGUUAAAUAUUUUGUUUGAGUA